CCAAAGUUUUAAUGGACUUUUAAAAUCAGAGUACACACACUGACACAUGUACAGGGUUCGCACAGGCUUAAAAAGUACUUGAAAAUGAAGGACAGUCUUGAAAAGUCCUUGAAAACAAAACUUGUCUUGAAAAGUGCUUGAAAAUUGCCCAAAGACCUUGAAAAGUACUUGAAUUUCUUAUUUUCUCAUAUGCUAGGCAAUUAAAAUCUCCCUGAAAAUCAAAAGUAAAUCUUUUAGAAUAAAAUCAGCAAGUUUCGAGCAAUGGGCAGAGCUACGAAAACGCCGUAAUAAAAAAGGUCGAAAGUGUUCGGGAUGAACGCAAAGUUUGGGUACGAAUGUUAUGUACAUUCUGUUAGCGUUGUCUCCCCUGACUAAAAUGGCGGCUAGAAUUUACAAAUCUGUGUAAGUAUUAUUUAUAAAUAAGUCCUUGAAAACUAUAAGACUAGUGCUUGAAAAGUCCUUGAAUUUGACUUGGCCUUGUCUGUAUGAACCCUGUUGUAGCAUUGCACAUCAGACUGCAAUUUUGACAACUGUGACUAGCUCACUGCAAAAGGGAUAAAAGAUAAUCUAAGGAGGGAUAUUUAUCAGCCUUUGUUUAAGUCAACAGUCAGUUGAACAGUGGGAUUUUUUCCUAUAUGUACAUUCACAUAAAUUUCUUUAAAAAAUUAUGUUGCUUAAGGUAGUGGACCCUUAAUAGUUUUUUUUGGCAAUUUCAGUGUGAUUUUUGGCAUUCUUUGGCCAUAAAUGUAAUUCAUAUCAGCAAUAACUUCGAUAUCAGCUGGAAAAUGCCGAAAUCAUAUACGGAGAAAACAAUUAAACGGAACUUAACGAUUGUCAUUACAGAUCCACUACCUUAAAUAAAGACCAUAAACAUCAAGAUCUUAUUUAAACAAUAAAUUUGGAUUAUGUAUCAUACUGUGUAUUUAUUUGUAGGCAUGGCUGAACUAUGAGAUGUUUCUCAAGAGACUUGCAAGACUGGCUGCUGAUAAUGCUAAACAAGAUAAAUCUGCUGUAAUCAGAGACAAUCAUAUUCGUAAUGCAGCUAAGACUAUCCUUGGCGGUAUCAGAGGCUGAACAUUUAGCUAUACGCAUUACCAUGGGGGAAAAGUGCAAUAGUGAAAAGUCAGUGUGAACUGCAACAGUUACUGUUAAAUUGUUGAACAUUAAAAACUGCAGUUGUUACUGUGUUGAACAACUUUCUUUUGGUUCUGCUACUGAAUCUACAGCUGUCGUUCACAAUGUGAAUUUGAUCCAACACUAUUCUGUAUUAUACUAACGGAGAGAUGUCUGCAGGUUGGACUACAGUUGCCGAGGCAUAUCGUUUGAAGUAUUAUAUUAUUAAAAAAAAUGAGGAAUCUGCAUGGCAAUUGAAGACCUGUUUUUAGAUGAGGAGAUAGGAAGCUAAUUAAGGACAGCGAAUAAUAGUUGCAUUUAGCAAUAUUUCUGAUUUGGUGAAGUAGAAUUGUGUACAUUUUCUCCAAUUGAAUUAAUUAAAUUUUUACUAGAAAAAUAGCCCUUACGUGAUCAAGCAUGAUUAAAAUCUGUUGUAUCGCUUUAAAAAAAAACACUGUAAAAAAGCUAAUUUUUAGCUUGCCUAUACGAAGUAUAUGGACAGCUGUUCUACUCACCCUGAUGUCGGUGUCUUUUCGGGUCCCCACCUAAUCAAAUUUUUUACACUUUCUCUUUUUUCUCCAUAUCUCUGUAAUUACUUGAUGAAUUUGCUUUAAACUUAAAAUAGUUAUUCCCCAUCAUCACCCACAUCAUAUGGCACAAGGGCCAAAACUCUCACACCAAUAUUUCAUUAAUUAUCCCCCAUUUUUACUUAGUAUUUCAGGUUCAAGUUUUUAUGCACUUUUCACUCUAUCUCAAUUAUUCCUAAAUCGACUGGAUUCAGACUGAAAGUAGUUGUUCCACAUCAUCUCCCACAUGAUAUGACACAAGGCACAUAACUCUGGUACCAAUAUUUAAUGAAUUAUCCCCCCUUUUUACCUUGAAUUUCAUGUUAAAGUUUUGAUGCACUUCCACUGUAUCUCAGUUAUUACUAAAUGGAUUUGAUUCAAACUUAAAAUUGUUGUUCAACAUCAUCACCCACAUCAUAUGACACAAGGGACAUAACUCUUGCACCAACAUUUCAUGAAUUACCCCCCUCUUUACUUAGAAUUAGAAUUUCAGGUUAAAGUUUGGUACACUUUCACUGUAUCUCAAUUAUUACUAAAUGGGUUUGAUUCAAACAUAAAAUAUUGUUCCACCUUAUCACCCACAUCAUUUGUGACACAAGGUGCAUAACUCUGGCACCAAUUUUUCAUGAAUUAUGCCCCUUGUACUUAGAAUAUAAGAUUAAUUUUGAUGUAUUUUCACUAUAUCUCAAGUUAUUAUGAAAUGCAUUUUAUUCAAACUUGAAGUAGUUGUUCCACAUUAUAUGACACAAGAUGCAUAACUCUUCCACCAAUAUUUUAUGAAUUAUGCCCCCUUUCUGCUUAGUAUAUACUUAUAUAGUGUUUUGGUUAGGGCUGUAACGAAUACACUAAGGGGCGAAUAUGAUACGUAUCACGAAUACAAGUAUUUUAUUCAUGAAUACGAAUUCUAUAUAAAAAGGUCACCGAACAGUAUGUGGCUUUUGCCAACAAUAGAUUACAGUCUGCUGACAAGAUUCUAGUACUUACUUGGUACUCAAAACACUGUGAUUGUGAACUAAUACUGUUCAAAAGUAAAACAAAAAACACACAGUUAGCAUGUAACUUUGUAAGCUUAUAGAACUUUGGAUUCAAAUGACUUAAACUGUCAACUGUUUGGCAAAAAAACGACUAGAGACGACCAAAAACUGACGAUGUGUAUUUGGCAAGAUGAUCCCCUAUUUCAAAAUUAUUUUAAAAUUAUAUAAAAUUACGAAUUCAAUCCCAUUUCAAACCCAGAAAAUUAUUAAAAUCAUUUUAUAAAUAGUAAACCAACAUCAAAUAUUGGCCCUAUGAGACUUAUCAAAUAAUUGUCGUGAAAAUAUUUGUCUACUGUUGUGGGUGGGGGUAAUACGAAGAAAAUUAAUGCGAAAUGCGCUAUGAAACGCAAGCAUUUUGGUAGCUUUCUUGUGUUGUAGGUAAAUUCAAGUAAUUUUAGUAUGGAUUAUGCAGUUUUUAUUUAUAUUCGUAAAUAUUUGGUUCAGGACAUAGAAAAUAACGAAUACAAUUUGGACAAAACUGUAUUCGAUUAAAUGGAAUAUUCGAAUGUAUCGUUACAGCCCUAGCUAGUUUUGGUACACUUUAUCUGUACCUCUCUUAUAACUUAAUAUUUUUAACACAACUCAAGCUGUUGUGCAAUAUUCAUCCACCAUUAGUCAUUAAACACUCCUGUGACAGCUCCAUUUUUUCCUUAGAUGUGCCCAGUUUCACUAUCCAGCAUCGAAAUAGUCAAGCGCACUGUCUCCUGUGACAGCUCUUGUUUGUACUCUGGGUACUUACAUCCAUUUGUUGCUUUCCAUAUAGAUAUAUUGAAGCCUUUGAUGGUUAUUCAAUUUUGUGUUGUUACAUAUAUUUUUUUGCAUACAUAUUGACCUAGUGGACCAGUAGUGAUAGCUGAUAACUUCCAUUCCAUUGCAUAUACUAUGCUAUUGUGGCUUUUGAGCUGGUGUGAAUGGCUCAGGAAACAGAUUUUUAAUAGUUGUUGAAACAUUUCUUUAUGAUUUCUGAACGUGAUGAACCACUAGCGAAAUAAUAACUUAAGGCUUACCAGUGUUCCUAAAAUUUCUAAAAAAAAAAAAAAAAAAAAAAAAGAAAAAUCAAAGGAAAUUUAUAAAAAUGCCCUAUUUUCCCCUCUUAAUAUUUGUUUUUCAACAUACUAUUGGAGUUUGAUUAGUACUUCAUGCUUAAUAUGUUUAAAUGUUGUUUUAUAGGUCUUCUUAUUCGCUGCAAGCAGUUUUAUCCAGUUUAUAGACAACUGACCAGUGGUUCAGUCUGUUAUUAGCUGUGACUGGAUAAGAGAGAUUGAAUGUCUAUAUUUUAGUAAACAGUCUUAAUUUUAUCCCAAAAAUAUCUAAGAAAUAGUAGCAAAUUCCUAAUUUUAGCCCAAAGUUUUGUUUAAAAUCACCCUAAAUUUUUGUCAGAAGAUGCUGAACACCCUGUUUAAACUUGUGUAAUAAGUUUACUCAAAGUCUUGUAUUCUCAAAGAUUCAUGUUUUGAUUUGUAUCUUGUUUAGUAAAUCUUUAUGGGCAUUGUUUCAA